rnacentral:rRNA from 1 species
UACAGAGGGGGCAAGCGUUGUUCGGAAUUAUUGGGCGUAAAGGGCGCGUAGGCGGCCUGGCAAGUGGAAGGUGAAAUCCCUCGGCUUAACCGAGGAACUGCCCUCCAAACUGCUUGGCUUGAGUCCGGGAGAGGUGAGUGGAAUUCCCAGUGUAGCGGUGAAAUGCGUAGAUAUUGGGAGGAACACCAAUGGCGAAGGCAGCCCCCUGGGUCAACACUGACGCUCAUGCACGAAAGCGUGGGGAGCAAACAGG